rnacentral:rRNA from 1 species
CCCUUAGAUGUCCGGGGCCGCACGCGCGCUACACUGAAGGAAUCAGCGUGGCUUUCUCCCUGACCCGAAAGGGUUGGGAAACCCGUUGAAUCUCCUUCGUGAUAGGGAUUGGGGCUUGAAAUUGUUCCCCAUGAACGAGGAAUUCCCAGUAAGCGCGAGUCAUAAGCACGCGUUGAUUACGUCCCUGCCCUUUGUACACACCGCCCGUCGCUACUACCGAUUGAACGGUUUAGUGAGGGCCUCGGAUUGGUCUCGGCCCGCUCUUUACCGGGCGGCGCCGUUGGUCGAGAAGACGCUCGAACUUGAUCGUUUAGAGGAAGUAAAAGUCGUAACA